rnacentral:rRNA from 1 species
CACGGGGGGAGCAAGCGUUGUUCGGAUUUACUGGGCGUAAAGAGCGCGCAGGCGGUCGUUCAAGUCGAGUGUGAAAGCCCCCGGCUCAACUGGGGAGGGUCAUUCGAUACUGAUCGACUCGAAGGCAGGAGAGGGAAGCGGAAUUCCCGGUGUAGUGGUGAAAUGCGUAGAUAUCGGGAGGAACACCAGUGGCGAAGGCGGCUUCCUGGCCUGUUCUUGACGCUGAGGCGCGAAAGCUAGGGGAGCAAACGGG